UCCCUGGUGGUCUAGUGGUUAAGACUCUGUGCUUCCAAUGUAGGGGACAUGAGUUUGAUUCCUGACUGGGGAA
rnacentral:tRNA from 1 species